UACGUAUGGUGCAAGCGUUAAUCGGAAUUACUGGGCGUAAAGCGUGCGCAGGCGGUUCGCUAAGACAGAUGUGAAAUCCCCGGGCUUAACCUGGGAACUGCAUUUGUGACUGGCGGGCUAGAGUAUGGCAGAGGGGGGUAGAAUUCCACGUGUAGCAGUGAAAUGCGUAGAGAUGUGGAGGAAUACCGAUGGCGAAGGCAGCCCCCUGGGACAAUACUGAAGCUCAUGCACGAAAGCGUGGGGAGCAAACAGG
rnacentral:rRNA from 1 species